GAUGAACGCUGGCGGCGUGCCUAAUACAUGCAAGUCGAGCGAACGGACGAGAAGCUUGCUUCUCUGAUGUUAGCGGCGGACGGGUGAGUAACACGUGGAUAACCUACCUAUAAGACUGGGAUAACUUCGGGAAACCGGAGCUAAUACCGGAUCAUAUUUUGAACCGCAUGGUUCAAAAGUGAAAGACGGUUUUGCUGUCACUUAUAGAUGGAUCCGCGUUGCAUUAGCUAGUUGGUAAGGUAACGGCUUACCAAGGCAACGAUGCGUAGCCGACCUGAGAGGGUGAUCGGCCACACUGGAACUGAGACACGGUCCAGACUCCUACGGGAGGCAGCAGUAGGGAAUCUUCCGCAAUGGGCGAAAGCCUGACCCAGCAACACCGCGUGAGUGAUGAAGGUCUUCGGGUCGUAAAACUCUGUUAUUAGGGAAGAACAGAUGUGUAAUUAACUGUGGACAUCUUGACGGUACCUAAAGAAAAAGCCACGGCUAACUACGUG
rnacentral:rRNA from 1 species